CUAAUACAUGCAAGUAGAACGCACAGUUUAUACCGUAGCUUGCUACACCAUAGACUGUGAGUUGCGAACGGGUGAGUAACGCGUAGGUAACCUGCCUGGUAGCGGGGGAUAACUAUUGGAAACGAUAGCUAAUACCGCAUAAUAUUAAUUAUUGCAUGAUAAUUAAUUGAAAGGUGCAAUUGCACCACUACCAGAUGGACCUGCGUUGUAUUAGCUAGUAGGUGAGGUAACGGCUCACCUAGGCGACGAUACAUAGCCGACCUGAGAGGGUGAUCGGCCACACUGGGACUGAGACACGGCCCAGACUCCUACGGGAGGCAGCAGUAGGGAAUCUUCGGCAAUGGACGAAAGUCUGACCGAGCAACGCCGCGUGAGUGAAGAAGGUUUUCGGAUCGUAAAGCUCUGUUGUAAGAGAAGAACGGGUGUGAGAGUGGAAAGUUCACACUGUGACGGUAUCUUACCAGAAAGGGACGGCUAACUACGUGCCAGCAGCCGCGGUAAUACGUAGGUCCCGAGCGUUGUCCGGAUUUAUUGGGCGUAAAGCGAGCGCAGGCGGUUAGAUAAGUCUGAAGUUAAAGGCUGUGGCUUAACCAUAGUACGCUUUGGAAACUGUUUAACUUGAGUGCAGAAGGGGAGAGUGGAAUUCCAUGUGUAGCGGUGAAAUGCGUAGAUAUAUGGAGGAACACCGGUGGCGAAAGCGGCUCUCUG
rnacentral:rRNA from 1 species